AGUGAACGCUGGCGGCAUGCCUAACACAUGCAAGUCGAGCGGCAGCGCGUGUGCAACCCUGGCGGCGAGCGGCGGACGGGUGAGGAAUUCGUCGGAAUCUGCCUACUUGUAGUGGAUAACGUAGGUAAACUUACGCUAAUACCGCAUCCGUCCUACGGGAGAGCGUGGGGGACGGCAAGGCCUCACGCAGAAAGAUGAGCCGACGACCGAUUAGCUAGUUGGUGGGGUAAAGGCCCACCAAGACGACGAUCGGUAGCUGAUCAGGGGGGAUGAUCAGCGACACUGGGAGUGAGAGACGGCCCAGACUCCUACGGGGAGACGGAGUGGGGAAUAUUGGACAAUGGGAGCAAGCCUGAUCCAGCAAUGCGGCGUAUGUGGAGGAGGCCAUCGGGUUGUAAAGCACAUUUGUCAGGAAAGAAAUCCCUGGAGCUACUACCUUCGGGGGAUGACGGUACCGGAAGAAUAAGCACCGGCUAACUCCGUG
rnacentral:rRNA from 1 species